CGAAGAUAAUAGCUACUAGCUACAGGUACUGUACACGUGUACAGCUGUACACGUACUGUAGCUAUGAUAGCUAGCUAGCUAGCUAGGGCAUUUGAUCAGCGCCUCCGGCGCUUCGGCUGUCAGUAGUUGGGAAAGGGGCGCAGCAGGGUAUUUAGUCUGAUAAAAUACGGAAGGAGGAGGUUUUGGAGGAGGAGGAGAGGGGAGGGGAGGGGAGGGGGGGGAGGGGGAGGAAGAGGAGGGGGGAGGGGGAGGGGGGGGAGGGGGAGGAAGAGGAGGGGGGAGGGGGAGGGGGGGGAGGGGAGAGAGGGAGGCGCGGCGUCGUUGUCGUUCGAGGACGAGUGCAGGUUAUGGGCCAGGUGCAGUUUCCGCGUACUUUCGUACUACGAAACUCACUUCAGACUGACAGGGGCACGUUUUUGCAUACGGGGCGGGGCGCCAAACGCUCAUUGGUUGAAAUUUUCGUCCCUUGGAAAAAUGGGAGAAGGUACACGUACGUGUACAGUACAGUACGAGUACACGCACGUUUACGUGGACACGUACUGUAAACCCUGCCUGCUGCUGUCUGGUAGAAAACUCUCCGGCUCCGAAGCAACCUGACCGGUGUGUGGGUUUCCCACCCUCGGGAGGGUGGUGUCCUUCAGUCCCCGGGCACGCACGAUGGACCCAGAACAGCCCCCUCCGGCGGGCUCGCAGCCCCCCCCCGUGUUCACAGCGUCCGGACGGUCCUUCCCGAGCACCGCGGCGGAGCACCCCGCGCCCGGGAUCCCGCUCCUGGAGAGGACCUUCGGAGGCACCGAGGAAGAGAUCGCGACGUUCAUGGAAUCCCUGGACGAGUUCACGCCGACGAUACCGGACGCGCUGACGAACCACUACUUGAAGAUGUGCGGCGUUCCGGAGCCGGACGUGAGGAUCACGCGGUUGAUCUCCCUCGCCGCGCAAAAGGUGCGCGCGUCGCGGCGUCUCGCGCGGUCGCGUCGCGACGCGCUCGAAUCGAACCGAACGCGCUCGCGCGAAUUCGCGCGUCCCCACGCCCCCCUCGCGCGUCAACCCCGCUCGCUCGCGCGCGCUCCGAGCCGCCGAGCCGAACGCCCAAACCGANNNNNNNNNNNNNNNNNNNNNNNNNNNNNNNNNNNNNNNNNNNNNNNNNNNNNNNNNNNNNNNNNNNNNNNNNNNNNNNNNNNNNNNNNNNNNNNNNNNNUCGCCGACGCGCGACGGCGGCGACGGAGACGGAGGCGAUGGACGCGGCGACGGCGGCGAAGGGACCGCGAGCAAGCGCCCGCGGCGGUCGCGAAGGUGAGCCGCGCCCGCGCGCUUCGAGACGAGAUCGAUCGACUGGUCGAGAUCGAAGACGGAGGACGAGAUUUGAUUUGACGCGGUCGUUCAGCUCGCAACUCAAGUACUUCCGACGAAACGCAACGUCUUCGCUCGUCGACGAACCCGCAGAAAGCCACACCGCUCGCGCGGAUCGGAAAUGAUCGUUUCGAGGGUGCCGAGCGUUGCGCGACCGUCGCACCGCGCGUUCGCUCGCGCGGUUCGACACGACGCGUCUGGCUCACCCGCUGGCUUUUUUCUGUUGAAACUGAAUCGCGAACACGGGUAUGUACCCGCCGACGAGGACCAUCCCGGCGGCGACCGCGCCGAAGAUGAGGUGCUUGCCUUUCGUCUGCGCGCGAAGAGGGGGGGGAGGGGGGGGGGACGCGGGGGAGGACGAGUCAGCCGCGUCCGUCGCGGCUGCGCGCGAGGAGGGGUCCGAAAAACGGCGACGACGACGACGACGACGACGCGUCCGAUCCGAGCGACGCGUCGCGGGGGAUGGACGCACCGCGUGGACGUCGUACAUCUUCUCCGCGUGAAUGUACGCCUGCGGAGCGCGCGAGGGAGGUCGGGAGCGGGAGCGGCGGGGGAGGGGGGGAAGGGAUCGUCAGAGGUGCGUCGCGAGGCGCGCGCGCGGGGGACGAGGCCGCCCCGGGGCCAACCCUAAAAACGACGACGACGACGACAACGACGACGCGCGCGCGCGGACGCGACGGGACGAGACGCACGGGUUCGUCCGCGCCGCCGCGCUUGGGCGCGGAGGUUUGAAAGGCGCGAGCGGGCGCGGCGCCUGCGCGCUGCGUCAGCGCGCGACGCGCGACCUGGGCGAGAGCGCUGGACGACAUCUCGCGCGCGGAAAUUGCGCCCCUUCGCGCGCGAUUUCCUGGCAUGAACGCCACGAGCCCUACGUGUACACGUACUGUACGUGUAAAGUCUGUACAACGUACGAGUACGUGUACAAAUAGUAAUAGAAUACUUUCGUAUGAGCCAGCCGAAUGAUUUACGUGUACACGAGUAAUCACGAGUACACGUACGUGUACACGUACACGUUACUGUUAGACUGUUUAAUUGUGCGUGUACAGUAGGGCUACGUGUACGUGUACAACGUUAGCUCGCUUCUAGAUCACAUGUUUUACCCGGAUGGGUUAGAGCUCAGUCUUUUUGUAAUCAGAUCCACACACGUGUACAACGUUGUACACGUACGAUCUGUCGGCUUUGAAAUUUGAAAGAGCGAACGGGCGAAACGAUCGGUCUGUCGAUGCCGGUGACACGUAACGUUGUACGUGUACUACACACUGUACUACACAGUGACUUUCAAAGUACUGUACACGUCCGUGUAGUUGUAGUGUGCAGGAGGUCAAACCCGUCAAACCUGGGUCAAUCUCAGUGUCAAUCGCAAUCUCCCGAGCAGAAAUUAAAAUUGUGCCGAGGGACGAGAAUUCAAGUUGAGCGCGGCUCCCAGAUCCCUCUUCUUCCGUCAAAACUCACGCGCGCUCGCCGCAUCCCGCAGCGCAUCCGACCUCGAUCAUGAGUCAGCUCGCGGCGUACAAAAAGAUGAAAGUCCAGGUGCGUCCUCCAGCGCGUCCUCGCUCCCGCGCUCUGCUGUUCCCCGCUCAACGAGGAAGAAAUUAUUAAAAUCCUCCGCUCACGCGCGCUCGAAUUCCCGCGCGAUCCGUCGCGAUCUCACUCUCGCUUCGCCGUUCGGUUCCCAGGAGCUCCGCGACGCGUGCGAGGAGAAAGGCCUGGACGCGACCGGACUGAAGGCUGUCCUCCUCGAGCGCCUGGAAAAGUCCCUCGCGAGCGACGCCGACGCCGACGCCGACGCCGCCGGCGGCGACGACGACGCGCCCGCGGAGAACGACGACGAUCUCGAAGACGUCCCCGACGACGACGCGCCCGCCGCGGCCGCGACCGCCGGGGACGACGAUCUCGUCGACCCGGACGACGCCCCCGCGACGGAGAACCCCGCGUCCGCCGGCGCGCCCGCGACGAACGCCGGCGCGAACGACGCCGCAGGGGUGUCGCUCGAGCCGAAAACGAAGGUGGCGCAGACGCCGGAGCGGCUCGCGGCGACGGAGGCGGCGCGCGCCGCGCUCGUCGCCGCGAUCGAGGAGGACAUCGAGAAGCGUAAGCAUCGCGCGGAGCGCUUUGGGAUGCCGUUCGUCCUGAGCGAGCUCGACGAGACGCGUCUGCGGUGCGCGAAGGAGGGGAAACCGAUGCCGGGCAGCGCCGAGGAGGCGGCCACGAGACGCGAGGCAAAGGCACGGGGCCGCGCCGAGCGAAAGCAGAAGAAACGGGAGAGCGGAGGUCGGGGUCAGGGUCAGGGUCAGGGUCAGGGUCAGGGCGGCGCGGGGGCCGAAGCGAAAGCGAAAGCGAAAGGCGAUGCGUGCCGCAACUGCGGAAAGAAGGGUCACUGGGCGAGAGACUGCUGGGCCCCCGGCGGCGGCAAAGAGGGCCAGGGCGGCGGCAGAGGCGGCGAGAAGAGAUCGAAGCCGGAAACCGCCCCCGACCGCGCGACGGGCGACGACGCGGAGCGAAAGAAAGCCCGCGCCGAACGCUUCGGCACCGGCGAGACGCUCAGGGCGUUGGACCCGGAGUUUGAGGCCAAGCUCGCCGCGCGCGCGGCGCGAUUCGCGGAGGACGCGCCGUGACGCGAGCGAGGCGAGGCGUCUCGACGAGCGGGGUCGCGGUCGAUCGGUCGGUCGGUCGCGAUCCGUCCGGCGAGGGCGGGGCGAGGGCGAGGCGGACGAGCGAGCGCUGCGCCGAGCGCGCGUUGUGAAUAGUAGGGCUAUCGUCGUCGUCGCGAGCGCGCGGCGUCUUCACCGGCUCGUUCGGCGGCGUGACCAGAAGGUGAAAAACCACCUUCUGGCCUGCGUACGUGUACGUGUACUGUGCGUGUAGUCCGGACAAAAAACCGACCCAAAUUACAGCGCGAAAGGCAGCAGUUGAGCACUCCGUGUAGAGUCGCGAUGCAGUGCAUCGGACUGCAGUUUUCCAGGUUUCUUUUCCGUCGCGCGCGCUUCUCAGUACACGUACACUAGUUACAGUACACGUAGUAGGUUUGAUUACACAAAAACUGAGCACCACACGUACUGUACGUUUACGUGUAUUUGCUCACUGCGUGAGAGGGUUUCCCGUAGAGAAGUUUGCUCGCACUAGCUAGGUCACAUGUUUUGCCCGGAUGGGUUAGAGCUCAGUAUAUCAAACCUACAACGUAGAGGAAGUACGUACGGAAGUUCAACUACUACAUGUACUGUAGGGCUACGAAUGAAGGUACGAAGGUUGUUGUGUAUCAUAAGUUGUUUUACUGUACUGUAUGUGUACGAAAGUAUAGAAUCUAUCUUCGAAGGUACACGUGCGUACGUGUACGUAGUACGAAAAUACGUACUUUUGUAGUGUACUUCCGGAAGUACGGAAAUAAAUAGAAUACGUUGUACGAAAGUACUUUCGAAACUAACAACUUAAUACCUUCGUACUUUCGUACUUUCGUACGAAAGUACUUUCGAAAAUAGAUAGUUUGAAAGGUACGAAAGUACUUUCGUACUUUCGUACGUUUUUAGUACUCGUACGGUACUACGGAGGUACGAAAGUACUACGAAAAUAUCUUCGUACAACGUUACACGUACGUGUACUGUACGAGUCGUGUACCUUCGUACGAAAGUACUAAAGUUGUACGAAAGUACAAAAGUACAAGUGUUGUACGUGUACACGUACAGCUGUACACUUAUUCUAUUCGUACGUGUACUGUGGCCUUGCACGUGUACAGUGUACAGCUGUACACGUAACUUGUACACGUACUGUACACAAUGAUACGUGAAUGUUCACGUACGUAGCCUUAAUAAUACCGUUGUACACGUACUGUACACAUACUGUACACGUACACGUACGUGUACUCCUGCUGAGUGCCUGCGUGCGCUUCUCCUGUCCAGUGUCGUCCGCGUGUCACUUACCGCCGGCGCAUGACGUCCGCGCCGGGGAGGGCGUCGACGCGAAUGCAGUCGCCCGCGCGCGCGAUAGCGCGCGCGCUGCGGUCCCGCGCGCGCGCGACCGCGACGCCGCGCGACGCCGCGCCGCCGGAUCCGCCCUCGACCGCGCGCGCGCGUCGCGUCUGGACCCCGCGCGCGCCGCUCGAGCCGGUCGCGUCCGCGUACGUGCACCUCCCGUUCUGCCGCCGGCGAUGUUACUACUGCGAUUUCGCCGUGAGCGUCGUCGGGGACGCGCACGAAACCUCGGACGCGGUGACGCGAGGGAUGGAGACGUACGUCGAGACGCUUUCGCGGGAGAUCGCGAACACGCCGAGCGCGCCGUCGUCGCGCGGUCGUCGUCGUCAUCACCCGCCGCUGAGGACAAUCUUCUUCGGCGGCGGGACGCCGUCGCUGCUCCCGCCCGCGCUGCUUCGCCGCGUGCUCGACGCGCUGAGAGCGCGGUUCGGGAUCGACGCGGACGCGGAGAUCUCCAUGGAGGUGCGCGCCCGCCGUCCGCGCUCCUUGUCGCGCGCGACGACCCGACCUCGAUUUCUCGGUUUCGUUCGGCGGCACCGCUGUCCGCGCGCGCGCGAUCGCGUCGUGUCGUAUUCGCGCGUAAUUUAAUAACGGCCCGCCCGCGGCGACUGCGCAGAUGGACCCGGGAACGUUCGACGCGGCAAAACUCCGGUCGUACGCCGAACUCGGAGUGAACCGCGUGAGCCUGGGCGUGCAGUCGUUCGACGACGCCGUGCUUCGCGCCGCGGGAAGAGCGCACACGGCGGCGG
rnacentral:lncRNA from 1 species